GAUCCUAGCAAGUUUCCUGAACACAUCAACUUCAGGGUUAUGGCCCACCACAAGGGAUAUUCUCAAGGGUUGAGCAUUGGAUUCCUGUUAGCUACUGCCUACUCUUUUCACUUAAGAAGAAAUGUUUAUUUGUGAGAACAUUAUACAAGCCAUCUUUUCCUUUCAGCACCAUCUUCACACCACACAACUUCCAGGAUUAUCUCCUUCCAACCACCAGAGUCACAUCCUGCAGCUCCUGGGAAAUGUUGAUGUGAUCCUGUUGGUGAUUGGUUUCCUCAUCAUAAUGUGGUAUGAGAAUAUAUUAUAGUUUUAUAUUCUACAUUCCUGACUCCACCCCCAUGAAGAGCCAUGUUUCAAGACCACAGGAUGGUCAAUAUUGGAUUAAUUGCUACUGGACUUAACAUUGCUAAGUGAAAGGGGCAAGUUGGAGAGAACUGUAUGUCACUAUCUAGUUAAGGUCAAAUAUGCGAAGAUAAUAUCUGUUUAUAGUUUUUUUUAAAUAGAAUAAACAAUAAAAUAAAUUUAGACGGCUAUCUAUUUAGGGGAGAAGGGGAAAUAGCUAGAGGAGACAGGGCAAAAAGCUAGACUUUUUUGAAAAUAACUGACAAUAAAAAUGUGACUGUGAAACAGUGUAAAUAUGUUAAUUUUGAAAGUAUAAUCAAAUACAAAGGCAAAACCUAAAUGUCAAAAUAAAAAUAAACAAAUGAAGAAAAAUAUGCACCUAGUAAGUGACACACUAUGCAGAAAGGGAAUAUUCCAAGGGAUUCCUGAAUUUAGGCAUUUAGUUGUACUGUCAAAUUGAGUAGUGCACUGUGGUCAAUAAAUAAACAAAAUAAAAAUGUAAAAUAAGAUCCUAAACUAUUUUCAGUUAUUAGAUGCUUGUUAUUAGUGUAUACAUGGUUCUGAGAGUAUUGAUUAUGAGUAAAUUAUGAAUAAAAUAAGCAAAAUAUUAAUUCAAAAUAUUAAACCAAGUGUUAUUGACAACUGGGAACUCUAACAUGGAAGAAAGAGGAUAUAAGAUGUAAGAUAGGAGAAUUUAAAAAAUGUUUAUUGGAAAAUUGGAAAUUU
rnacentral:lncRNA from 10 species